CCUCUGCCAUUUAGGAGUUAAAUCCCUUUGUUUAUGAACCCUAGUCACACCUCCCUGCAUGUGACUUGCACAGCCUUCCAUAAACACUUCCUGUAAAGAGAGCCCUAUUUAGGCGUUCUUUAUUGCAAGUUCUGUUUAAUUAAGAUUUUCUUAUCCCCUGCUAUGUUAAUAGCUUGCUAGACCCUGCAAGAGCCUCCUGAAUGUGAUUAAAGUUCAAUUUAGAGAUUGAGAUACAAUUAUUUAAGGUAAAUUACAUCUGUUUGAAAGUGAAACCAGUUUUUUUUUCAUGCAGGCUCUGUCAAUCAUAGCCAGGGGAGGUGUGGCUAGGGCUGCAUAAACAGAAACAAAGUGAUUUAACUCCUAAAUGACAGUGAAUUGAGCAGUGAAAUUGCAGGGG